rnacentral:rRNA from 1 species
AUGGAACGGGAGGUGGGCAAAAGCAAGAGCAAGACAUCCGCCCAGUUGCCUCUUGAUCAAGGAACCGGUGGUGGAUGGAUGUGGAGCUGCCCUACGUCAGGUGGCACAGCUGUGCGUGCUUCCCCACUAAUUCUAAUUCUAGGUUGUUGUCUGCUUAGUAUAUUCAGUCGCGUGGCGAGGGGACGAGCAUUGUUGUCUGUAUAUUCAGUCGCGUGGCGAGGGGACGAGCAUCAAGUGGCAGAGUUGUGUUGUGCCGGCUGUUAUCCAUCCGAGAGCAAAGCAAAAGCGAAGGUGAAGAUUCCGGCGUCGGCUGCAGGGUGCCCGUGCGUGCUGGUUGGAGAUUGCUCCGGUUCAUCACCGCCAAGGCUAGGUGUUUGUGGAAUUCCCCGCCUCCUUUGCAAGGAAAGGCUGCUAGGAAGAGGGAGAGCGAGGAAAGGAUGGGCAUGCCGCGGGGGCUGUCGGCGUACAUGGUGGACAUGGUGUGGGCGGUGCUCGCCGGGUGGGUGUCGGCGUGCCUGCUGGUCGCCAACGAGAUCGCCCGCGGCAUGCGGGCCGGGGAGAUCGGCCCCUUCGUCGUGGGCUGAAUCUCACUCCUGGGGAAAUCCUCCCUCCCUUCUGACUCCUUCCUUCAGGCUGGUGCUCUGCUCUCAACCUUCUGCUCUUAGUUUCUUUGCUAGUAAUAACUCGGUGCUUCCUCUCUAA